AGAGUUUGAUCAUGGCUCAGAGUGAACGCUGGCGGCGUGCUUAACACAUGCAAGUCGAACGAGAACGGAACUAGCUUGCUAGUUUGUCAGCUAAGUGGCGCACGGGUGAGUAAUAUAUAGUUAAUCUGCCCCAAAGAAGAGAAUAAUUGUUGGAAACGACUUGUAAUGCUCUAUAUGCCUUUAUCACAUAAGUGAGCAAGGGAAAUAUUUAUAGCUUUGGGAUGAGACUGUACGGUAUCAGCUUGUUGGUGAGGUAAUGGCUCACCAAGGCUAUGACAUCUAACUGGUUUGAGAGGAUGAUCAGUCACACUGGAACUGAGACACGGUCCAGACUCCUACGGGAGGCAGCAGUGGGGAAUAUUGCACAAUGGACGAAAGUCUGAUGCAGCAACGCCGCGUGGAGGAUGACACAUUUCGGUGCGUAAACUCCUUUUAUAUGAGAAGAUAAUGACGGUAUCAUAUGAAUAAGCACCGGCUAACUUCGUGCCAGCAGCCGCGGUAAUACGAGGGGUGCAAGCGUUACUCGGAAUCACUGGGCGUAAAGAGCAUGUAGGCGGGUAGUUAAGUUGGAAGUGAAAUCCUAUGGCUCAACCAUAGAACUGCUUCCAAAACUGAUUACCUAGAGUAUGGGAGAGGUAGAUGGAAUUUCUGGUGUAGGGGUAAAAUCCGUAGAGAUCAGAAGGAAUACCGAUUGCGAAGNCGAUCUACUGGNANCAUUACUGACGCUAAGAUGCGAAAGCGUGGGGAGCAAACAGGAUUAGAUACCCUGGNAGUCCACGCCCUAAACGAUGCACACUAGUUGUUGAUAUGCUCGACAUAGCAGUAAUGCAGUUAA
rnacentral:rRNA from 1 species